rnacentral:lncRNA from 1 species
AUUCGCCGGCACUGCGCUGAACUCCGCGGCGGCCGCGCGUCGCUCCCGCUGUUCCUCCCGCUGCCGCGGCCUCUGUGGGCCUCCUUCACCCCAGUGGGAAGAGAGUUGUUAUUGCCCGCCGUUACCAUAGCAACUGCAGCCACGCGCUGGGAGCCGAGUCUGCGAACUAGGCCUGGCGCGCUCCUGGAUCCCCUUGGGCUUUGCCUGCUGCCUCCAGCGGAGACUGGAGAAGACUGUCUAGAUCAUUUGGGGAAAAGUAACACAAGGAGUCUUUUGUGGUUAAACAAGGGUUGGAAACUACUAUCUUAAGGGAAAAAGCAGUGUUCUUUCAAGGUAACUCCUCUAUUUUAUUUGGAUUGACUACUGUUGAGAUCAGUACAUGCUAAGAACAAAGGAUCCAUCCUCCUCAACCUCCUUUGCUGGCUCUUCCUCUUUCUCCAGUGUUUGUUGAUCUGCCUUGGAGACUGUGAUCUGGACCUGCUUCUCCCCUCCUUAUUUUACCCACCCCCAGGCAAUCUCCUGCACUCCCACAGCCUCAAUUUUAUCUAUAUGCCUAAAGCCCUACAUUUGUCCAUCUAGCUUUGACCUUCUUUCCAGCUCUGGACUAAUGUUUGUUUAUUCAGUUGGAUAUUUACUUGGAAAUCUCAAACUCAGCAAGUCCAAAAUAGAAUUCCCAGUCUUUCCUCUAAACCAUCUCUUUCAGGAGUUCCCAUUGUGGUUCAGUGGUAACGAACCCAACUAGUAUCCAUGAGGAUGUGGGUUUGAUCCCUGGCCCCGUUCAGUGGGUUAAGGAUCCAGUGUGGCUGUGAGCGGCGGUAUAGGUCACAGAUGAGGCUAGGCCCUGGCAUUGCUGUGGGUGUGGUGUAGGCUGGCAGCUACAGUCCAUUUUACCCCUAGCCUGGGAACUUCCAUAUGUCAGAGUGCAGCCCUAAAAAGACAAAAAUAAAUAUAUAAACUAUCU